rnacentral:rRNA from 1 species
GAUGAACGCUGGCGGCGUGCCUAAUACAUGCAAGUCGAGCGAACACAUAAGGAGCUUUCUCCUUUAACGUUAGCGGCGGACGGGUGAGUAACACGUGGGUAACCUACCUAUAAGACGGGGAUAACUUCGGGAAACCGGUGCUAAUACCGCAUAACAUUUCGAACCGCAUGGUUCUAAAGUGAAAGAUGGUUUUGCUAUCUCUUAUAGAUGGACCCGCGCCGGAUUAGCUAGUUGGUAAGGUAACGGCUUACCAAGGCAACGAUACGUAGCCGACCUGAGAGGGUGAUCGGCCACACUGGAACUGAGACACGGUCCAGACUCCUACGGGAGGCAGCAGUAGGGAAUCUUCCGCAAUGGGCGCAAGCCUGACGGAGCAACGCCGCGUGAGUGAUGAAGGUCUUCGGAUCGUAAAACUCUGUUAUUAGGGAAGAAAAAAUGUGUAAGUAACUGUGCACGUCUUGACGGUACCUAAUCAGAAAGCCACGGCUAACUACGUG